AUUGAACGCUGGCGGCAUGCCUUACACAUGCAAGUCGAACGGCAGCGCGGACUUCGGUCUGGCGGCGAGUGGCGAACGGGUGAGUAAUGUAUCGGAACGUACCAUUCAGUGGGGGAUAACGCAGCGAAAGUUGCGCUAAUACCGCAUAUUCUGUGCGCAGGAAAGCAGGGAAUCGCAAGACCUUGCGCUGAUUGAGCGGCCGAUAUCAGAUUAGCUAGUUGGUGAGGUAAAGGCUCACCAAGGCGACGAUCUGUAGCGGGUCUGAGAGGAUGGUCCGCCACACUGGAACUGAGACACGGUCCAGACUCCUACGGGAGGCAGCAGUGGGGAAUUUUGGACAAUGGGGGCAACCCUGAUCCAGCCAUGCCGCGUGAGUGAAGAAGGCCUUCGGGUUGUAAAGCUCUUUCGGCCGGGAAGAAAUCGCACGGGCUAAUACCCUGUGUGGAUGACGGUACCGGAAUAAGAAGCACCGGCUAACUACGUGCCAGCCGCCGCAGUAACAC
rnacentral:rRNA from 1 species